GCAGAAACAAGGAGGUGGAACUCAGAUAACAUGUUAAGCAUUUUCCAUCUCAAAAGCUUCAAAUAUUUGGACAUGGAUAGACAAUGUAUGUCAAGCGUAUAUAAUUUCACUGCAUGAGGUGACAGCUAGUACAAGAGACAUCCAGGUUGGCUUUUACAUAGUCAAUAUCUCUUCUACAUCAGGUCGGAUUCUUAAUUUUGGAGCGACUUUUCUAUUGUGGUAAUGUGCUUAAAUUACCCACUUGGAGAUUUGGGGAAGUAUACCAGGUGAAUAAUCGCCCUAAUUUGGCUCCAAAUGUGGAAGAUAUAAUCCUAGGAAGUUGCAUAGCUAGAAACUUAUUUCAGAUGACUCCAUACAGAAGCAUUCCUUGGCCUUCAUCCUCUUGGCAGUACAUUCGUCAUACAGCAAAAUUAGAUAUACACAUCAAUGAUAAAUCACUGACGAAACCUUUUGCCACGAAAUAAGAGCAGAAAUUCAACACAUUUCCAGCACCAAUUACUUAGCUCAGCACUAUGUGGAGCUCUCUCUGUCGUCAAACAUUUUUCCAUUGUCAAGUGAAGAGGUGAAAGUUCGAGCUUAUUAAAUGGGAAUUGUUUUAUAAAAGAGGUGAAAGUUCCAACUUUU